rnacentral:rRNA from 1 species
GAUGAACGCUGGCGGCGUGCCUAAUACAUGCAAGUCGAGCGAAUGGAUUAAGAGCUUGCUCUUAUGAAGUUAGCGGCGGACGGGUGAGUAACACGUGGGUAACCUGCCCAUAAGACUGGGAUAACUCCGGGAAACCGGGGCUAAUACCGGAUAACAUUUUGAACCGCAUGGUUCGAAAUUGAAAGGCGGCUUCGGCUGUCACUUAUGGAUGGACCCGCGUAGCAUUAGCUAGUUGGUGAGGUAACGGCUCACCAAGGCAACGAUGCGUAGCCGACCUGGGAGGGUGAUCGGCCACACUGGGACGGAGACACGGCCCAGACUCCUACGGGAGGCAGAAGUAGGGAAUCUUCCGCAAUGGACGAAAGUCUGACGGAGCAACGCCGCGUGAGUGAUGAAGGCUUUCGGGUCGUAAAACUCUGUUGUUAGGGAAGAACAAGUGCUAGUUGAAUAAGCUGGCACCUUGACGGUACCUAACCAGAAAGCCACGGCUAACUACGUGCCAGCCGCCGCAGUAA